UUUUGAGAGAGUUUGAUCCUAGCUCAGGAUGAACGCUGGCGGCGUGGAUAAGGCAUGCAAGUCGAGCGAUCUGGCUUUUGCCAGGUAGCGGCAAACGAGUUAGUAACACGUGGAUACGUACCGCCGAGACAGGAAUAACCCAGAGAAAUCUGGGCUAAUACCUGAUGGUCCCGAAAGGGUAAAGGUUUCGCAAGAAGCCACUCGGUGAGCGGUCCGCGGCCUAUCAGCUUGUUGGUGAGGUAAAGGCCCACCAAGGCAAUGACGGGUAGGGGAGGUGAGAGCCUGUUCCCCAACGAUGGUACUGCGAUACGGACCAUACUCCUACGGGAGGCAGCAGUCAAGGACAUUGCACAAUGGGGGAAACCCUGAUGCAGCGACGCCGCGUGCGGGAUGAAGGCCUUCGGGUUGUAAACCGCUUUUAUGGAGGAAGAAGCAGCAAUGCUGACGGUACUCCAUGAAUAAGGGGGGACUAAUUCUGUGCCAGCAGUAGCGGUAAAACAGAACCCCCGAGCGUUAUCCGGAUUUAUUGGGCGUAAAGCGUCUGUAGCCGGUCUGGAAAGUCUUUUGUUAAAUACCAAGGGCUCAACCUUUGGGAUGCAAAGGAAACUUCCGGACUUGAGGAUGUUAGGGGCUGAUGGAACUCUUGGUGGAGGGGUGGAAUCCGUUGAUAUCAAGAGGAACACCAAAAGCGAAGGCAUUCAGCUGGAACAGUCCUGACGGUGAGAGACGAAAGCGUGGGGAGCAAAAAGGAUUAGAUAAAUCCUUGUCUCGUAUUUGACGAGACGAAUGGUGUCCCCUCCGGUGGCAACAUCGGAGUGUGCAUCUAGCUAUAUCGGGGAACUCCGUUCAAUCGAACGGACAAUCCCGAGGGAAGUCAACCUCUGUAAGAGGUAUUGACCCCGUAGAGACUAUGUAAGUAAGAAGAUAGAAAAUGAACACAAAACAUUCAUUUUUGUCGGAUCGAUGUAAAGAAGUUGUGCUAGGUUCUUUACUUGGUGAUGGAUCUUUAAGGAUCCAAAAACCGUACAAGAACGCACGUUUUUCUUUUCGUCACUCGGUUCUCCAACAAGAUUAUUUCUUCUGGAAAGUUGAACAGUUGAGGGAAAUUUCCGGAGAAAAAUGUUGGUGGAAACAAGAACCGAAUGGCUAUGGCAGAGAAAUGUUGCGAUACCAGAGCCUAGCGCUAGAGCAGCUUAGUGAACUAUAUCAGUUGACCCAUAAGCAUAACCGCUUAGUUAUUAAGCGAAGAUGGCUUAAUCAGCUGACGCCGCUUUCUUUGGUGGUGUGGUGGCUUGAUGACGGUUCAUUGAUUGGUAAUGGAAAACGCGGGGUGUUUUGUACUGACUCGUUUCCGCUUGAAGACCAAAAGAUUUUAGCACAGUACCUGCAAAAGGUCUGGAAAGCUAAAGUUGCAAUUGCAAAGAUUGUUCGAAAGCGUGACGGGGUAAAGCGUGAGUAUUACCGAUUGUGGAUUCGUUCAAGCGAAGAACUGAAAAAGUUCUUGUGUAUCAUCUUGCCGUAUGUUCCAGUAGCAAGUAUGCUGUCUAAAGUGAUUCUUCUUUACAAAGAUUCCCAAUUACAAGAACGCUGGAUUUCUGAAGUUGUUGAGAAAACGCCGUUUUCUCGUGACGUGAUAGAAAAGUAUCUUGUAGAGAAAAAAGCAAGAUAUAAGCGAUUUCAGAAAAUGAUAUAGUCCGAUCCUCGCAGUAAUGCGAGUAACAGAAAAUCUACAAGAUGACCCUUGUAGUCCACGCUGUAAACAAUGGAUACUAGCUAUGUGAAGUGUCGACCCUUCACGUGGCGAAGCUAACGCGUUAAGUAUCCCGCCUGGGAAGUACGGCCGCAAGGCUAAAACUCAAAGGNNNNNNNNNNNNNNNNNNNNNNNNNNNNNNNNNNNNNNNNNNNNNNNNNNNNNNNNNNNNNNNNNNNNNNNNNNNNNNNNNNNNNNNNCGCUUGUUUUACAUGUCAAGCGAAACUGCCUGAGACAAUCAGGAGGAAGGCGAGGAUGACGCCAGGUCCGCGUGGCCCUUUGAUAUCCUGGGCUGCACACAUGAUACAAUGGAGCCGACAGCGGGACGCAAAGCCGCAAGGCAGAGCAAAUCCCUAAACGGCCCCCCAGUUCGGAUUGAGGUCUGCAAUUCGACCUCAUGAAGCCGGAAUCGCUAGUAAUCGCGUAUCAGCUAUGGCGCGAUGAAUAUGUUCCUGAAUCUUGUACUCACCGCCCAUCAAGUCAAGCGAGUCGGGAAUGCCCAAAACCCCACCUUGCGUGGGUCUACGGCAGGCUCGGUGAGAGGGACUAAGUUGUAACAAGGCAUCGGUAGGGGAACCUGUCGAUGGAUCACAUCAUUU
rnacentral:rRNA from 1 species